GUCUACGACCAUCCCACCCUGAACACGCCCAUUCUCAUCCAAUCUCAGAAGGUAAGCAGGGUCAGGCCUGCUUACCUGGAUGGGAGAAGUGAGUAGCCCAACAUUCCUUAAGUGUUGAAAGAAAGGAAUUGUCAAUC
ensembl:rRNA 5S_rRNA 5S ribosomal RNA